AUGGCGACAUCCAAGAAGGGGCCUCUCUAUCCCAGCAGGGACAGGGCCACCAGGAUGGCCCCCAACCUCAAGCCCUCCAGCAGCGAGUUCUCCUCCUCCGGCUACGGCGCGCGCCGGGCGAGGUCAGUGCCGAGUUCCCCAGAUCGCAAGCUCGGUCCUUCGGCUGCCGCUGCGGCGGCGGCGGCUCCUUCCGCCUCCCCGGACAUGUGCCGUCCCUCAUUGUCACACGCUGGCCGGUCCAUCUCUUCACGGACAAUGUCCGGCUCAGGCCCAUCCAUUCAUGGCAGCAAGCCAGCCUCAAAGCCGGCUCUGGCUAGAGCGAAAUCCGACAAAGUCACCGCCAACUCACAGCGGCCUCAUGCGCUCGCUGGGCCGCUCAGCAGUUCGUUCAAGGACACCGCCAACUCGUCUUCUACCUUGCUGAAGAAUAAGCUUUCGCCAAGGCCCACCCCUGGCAAAGGGGUGGCGUCCCCAAAGCCGAGCAUCCAGAGGGCGUCAUCGCCAUCGCUGGGGGCUUUGAGAGGUGGGAAGCCUCUGCCCUUGUCCUCGGCACGCGCGCCAGGCACGGCGGCAAAGAAAAGAGAAGCAGCAGCAAAUGGUGGUGCCAACGCAAACUCAAGGCCAAGGGGUGCUCCUCAGAGGGCAGCGGAGCCAUCCACUACAACCAGGAAGGAGAAAGAUGACGAGCCAUCGAUGCGGUUUGAGGAAUCCGAGAGCCUGACCACUCCGUCCAUCGAAGAUCAGUUGCAGGAGCAGCUUCCUGACCCUGUGGACCUGAAACCCAUUGACAUGGCUGUUUCCGCUUCCGCUUCUGCUUCACCUCGACGCGAUCAGCAGGGGCCGCACACUCAGCAACAAGGCAAGAAUGAGGAGGAAAUCAAGAGCAACGACGUGAUCGAGGAGACGAAAAGCAAGCUCCUGGAGGAGAGGAAUAGCAGGGUGAAGGCCUUGGUAGGGGCCUUCGAGACGGCCAUGUCCUUCAAGGAGUAG
rnacentral:rRNA from 1 species